rnacentral:rRNA from 2 species
CUGUGAUGGGGAGGGAAAUAAUAGUACCGAAGUUCCUGAUGUCACACUGCCGAGAAAAGCUUCUAGUGAGAAAACAGCGGCCCGUACCGCAAACCGACACAGGUAGUCGAGGAGAGAAUCCUAAGGUGAGCGAGAGAACUCUCGUUAAGGAACUCGGCAAAAUGACCCCGUAACUUCGGGAGAAGGGGUGCUGAUCAUACGAUCAGCCGCAGUGAAUAGGCCCAAGCGACUGUUUAUCAAAAACACAGGUCUCUGCAAAAUCGUAAGAUGAAGUAUAGGGGCUGACGCCUGCCCGGUGCUGGAAGGUUAAGAGGAGUGCUUAGCGCAAGCGAAGGUACGAAUUGAAGCCCCAGUAAACGGCGGCCGUAACUAUAACGGUCCUAAGGUAGCGAAAUUCCUUGUCGGGUAAGUUCCGACCCGCACGAAAGGCGUAACGAUUUGGGCACUGUCUCAACGAGAGACUCGGUGAAAUUUUAGUACCUGUGAAGAUGCAGGUUACCCGCGACAGGACGGAAAGACCCCAUGGAGCUUUACUGUAGUUUGAUAUUGAGUGUCUGUACCGCAUGUACAGGAUAGGUAGGAGCCGUAGAAAUCGGAACGCUAGUUUCGAUGGAGGCGCUGGUGGGAUACUACCCCUGCGUUAUGGCCACUCUAACCCGCACCACU